rnacentral:lncRNA from 1 species
CAAAAGAUUCAACACAGCCUACUGAAAAGAUCUCCACUUCGUAUGAAGCCCCCAUUUUAGCUUCUAAAGAGAAUGAUCCAAAGCCUGCAGCAUCUCAACAAGAAGCAGAGGUGAAGCAAGAGGUUAAACCUGAUAGUGCUGUAGCAGCCAAUGGCCAAACUCAGCAAGGGACAAGCUUCAAGCACGACGAUGUGGAAGCCAAGCCUUCUCAAUCAUCGCAACUUCACAAUGAAGCACCACCUGCCCAAGGUCCGGAGACACGUGAAACGAGCAAAAGCUUAGGCUCUUCCAUUGUCAAUGAUGGCCGACAUGCCCCCGACAUCAAACUGGAUGCAAAGCAUAAAGAAACUAAUGAUGUGAAGGAAGUAGUGGAAGCAACAAAAACAAAAGCUGGCGACGAGAAAAAGAAGGAAGUCAAUGAUUCUAUUGCUCCAAAGUCUACCUCUGAUGCACAAAUUGUUGAAAAGGCUGAAAUCCCCAAAGAGAAGCAAGCGGUCCCCGGCACGAAGGAGUUUUUAGCAACACCUGGUUAUGCUACAGCUUCUCAACUGGUGAAGAAAAGCAAGAGCUCUGGUGCUCGGGAGAAACCUGCUCUACCAAAUGAAGAACACACCCCGUUGCACAAAAACAUCAGGGCUGACGUGUCAAAGUUUGCCAACGAAUUAGCCGGUGAAGACCACAAAAAAGCCAUUUCUGAUAGACCUGUAAGUGUGAUAACCAUUGCAGGAGAAAAUAGAGGAGCAUCAAUGCACAUGGAGUCUGAUUCCUCAAAAGGAGAAG